CCCACUUCUUCAUAAAAGUGUAUCAAUUAAACUGUUAAUAGCUCCAGACUGAUUCCUCUUCUGCAACUGUCACUAGUCUAAUACCAUCCUUACCUUUUUGUGUCAUUUUACCCCACUCACUCUAGCAUGUAAGCUCAUUGAACAGGGCCCUCAACCCCUCUGUUCCUGUGUGUCCAACUUGUCUGGUUACAACUACACGUCUGUUCGUCCACCCAUUGUAAAGUGCUG